rnacentral:lncRNA from 1 species
GGAAAGUAUUUACUAUAUUAUAGUUGAAGAUGGGUGGAUAAUUUCCACUUUUCUCCAGUGAUUCCUUGUAAAAUGUUUUCAGCUCUUUUUUUUUUUUUUUUUUCAUUUUUGGUAACUUUUUGUGAAUAAAAAUGAGAAGCUGAUUUUUGUUAUUAACAGUUGCAAUCAUGCUUAACCUUGCAGAAAACCUGAUGCCUUGUCACAUUUUUGCUGAAAUCAUGUGUCUUGGGAAAGAAAGUUCUACCAGAACCAUUUUUCUCCUCUGCAGAGAGGAAAAAUUGUUCUCCACCAGCAGGCAUUGAUUGACAGCCUUCUGAUGAGAGAAAAGUACAGCUAAGUUGCAAAAAGCGGGAGGUGGCACGUGCGGCAUUAUUCCACUUGACCCUCUCAACAGCCAAAGAAAUAGUCAAGCUCUCAGCCAUGCACAGCAAUGCCAAGGUGGUGUGAAGCAGUCUCCCAUCUUCACAGAAGAGCAGCUGCUGAGAAGGAAACUGGAGAAGGAUGAAGACAAAAAGGCCAAUAGGAGGAAUCUGUACAGCUAUUUGCUUGGACACAACACCAAAAAGGCCUCUCUUGAAGGGAGCUCUUAAGGGUGACUAAUUUUUUCUUCAAACUCAGUAUUAAUUUUCUGAAAUGUAUUAAGCCAAAGGGAUUUUUUAAGCUUGUCUAAUAAGUAACUAUGAAUGCCAGAUGCAUUUGUCACCUCAUCUAUCUAAGGUUUGUUUGUUUUCUUUCUCUUCCAUCGGCCUCAUUGGGCAGCGCUGUAGCAGUCAGCAGCGCUCAGCCACUGCGAAUGGGCUGGAGGCCAUGCUUCUUCCCCCGGCCAGGUGCACCACGUGCUGCCUCCUCGCCAGCUGUAGUUACUCAGUGCUGUGAAUUUCAUUUUGGACAAGCAUGGAUUUCAGUUAAUGAUGGAAAUGUGCACAGUGUUGAUGCCCUCUCUAUUACUGAACUAAACAAAGCCACUGGUCUCUGAAAGCAAUGAUAGAAGUUACUCCAGUCUCCACAGGGAUAAUUAGGUAAGAACAUGGCUACAGAUGCUGACUAGGUCUCCACUUUCUGAAGUCUGUGCUUCUGCUUGCAGAGUCCCUCUGCUACAACAGUGAAUAAACUAACUAUAUCUUUAACA